rnacentral:lncRNA from 1 species
GCCUCUCGCUCUCCCGCCCGACCACGGAGCGGCCUCGCGGCGAGGGUCCACGCCAGAGGGUCACGCACUUCCCAGGCAAACGUGGUAGCGGCCCCCGCUGGACCAGGACAGAUCCCGGAGUGGUGUCUACGCAGAGGGACUUUGUCCCUUCCUCAGAGGCCAGGCAGCUGCCAAACUCCAGCGACUUUGGUCCCGCAAGCCAGGGAAGGUGCGUCCUGAACAAGGCAGUGCAAAAUGAGGUAGAGGGCGCGAAGCUGAUGAGCUUUUUCGAUUAAAACCCCGUUUUUGUUUAAUUCCAAGAUUUAAUGGUGGGGACUUAACUGAGGCAAAUGACCCAUUUGGCCGUUGUAUCUGGAUUUAAAAAACACACACACACACACAAAUUACUGUGCUAACAAAAGAUUCUAACUAUAGCCAAAGGGUUAGGGAAUCCAACCGAAAAGCAGCCUAGAUUGAGAAAAGAGCUAGAACAGGGCACGUCACAUGUAAUAUUACUUAAAACAUUAAAACGAUGACUAUGACAGUUUCCCUACUCCACCACAACACACAUACACACACUCACACUUGAGCAACGUUGAAUUUAAUGAAAAUUGACCGUGAG